CUUGGUCAUUUAGAGGAAGUAAAAGUCGUAACAAGGUCUCCGUUGGUGAACCAGCGGAGGGAUCAUUACCGAGUUUACAACUCCCAAACCCCUGUGAACAUACCUUACUGUUGCCUCGGCGGAUCAGCCCGCUCCCGGUAAAACGGGACGGCCCGCCAGAGGACCCCUAAACUCUGUUUCUAUAUGUAACUUCUGAGUAAAACCAUAAAUAAAUCAAAACUUUCAACAGCGGAUCUCUUGGUUCUGGCAUCGAUGAAGAACGCAGCAAAAUGCGAUAAGUAAUGUGAAUUGCAGAAUUCAGUGAAUCAUCGAAUCUUUGAACGCACAUUGCGCCCGCCAGUAUUCUGGCGGGCAUGCCUGUUCGAGCGUCAUUUCAACCCUCAAGCCCUCGGGUUUGGUGUUGGGGAUCGGCGAGCCUUUCUGGCAAGCCGGCCCCGAAAUCUAGUGGCGGUCUCGCUGCAGCCUCCAUUGCGUAGUAGUAAAACCCUCGCAACUGGAACGCGGCGCGGCCAAGCCGUUAAACCCCCAACUUCUGAAUGUUGACCUCGGAUCAGGUAGGAAUACCCGCUGAACUUAAGCAUAUCAAUAAGCGGAGGAAAAGAAACCAACAGGGAUUGCCCUAGUAACGGCGAGUGAAGCGGCAACAGCUCAAAUUUGAAAUCUGGCUCUCGGGCCCGAGUUGUAAUUUGUAGAGGAUGCUUUUGAUGCGGUGCCUUCCGAGUUCCCUGGAACGGGACGCCAUAGAGGGUGAGAGCCCCGUCUGGUUGGAUGCCAAAUCUCUGUAAAGCUCCUUCAACGAGUCGAGUUGUUUGGGAAU
rnacentral:sRNA from 1 species